UAGAAACCCAUCGAGCAAACAGCAGGCCAGUGAGCUGAUCACGUUUUCACAUGCUGCUUCAGAUAGUGGUCCCGGCAAUAGUUCCAUUGACAUCGCCAGACGACGGCUAUAUGGCCAGACCCAACGCACAUCGACGCAAUGUCUGAUAUCGCGUGUCUGCGCUGAAAGCUGAUAGUGGGCCCCUAAUUGAGGACUCCCCAACACCCUAAAAAUAGUAAGACCUCUUCAUUGUUUCCAUGUUAAUCACCGAACUAAUAGACCAGUGACCAAAGGAAGGGGAGAGAGAAUGGCACUUAUCAACAUCUGUUUGCCAGACCAACUUGAGUAGAGUAAGUCCAGUGUGUACUGUGGCUAAUGUAUUUGAUUUUCAAGUUUGGCUCGAGUGCUGGCGCCUCAAUAAGGUGUUUGCUAUAUUUUCUAAGGUAGUGGUGAUAUAAUAAGCUGUUUUUUCUCACCUAUUACAAUAUAUUUGCAUACAUUUGGAC
rnacentral:lncRNA from 1 species